rnacentral:rRNA from 1 species
UCUUAAAUGUACUCAUUUUAAGUAAAAUCUGCUCAAUGAUCAUAAAUAGCCGCAGAAAUUUUACUGUGCUAAGGUAGCAUAAUCAUUAGUCUCUUAAUUAGCGACUAGUAUGAACGAUUUUACAUUUAUACUCUUUUCUAAUCUUCUUAAUUUAACCUUUACUAAACAUAAAAUAUGUUUAUAUAUUAAAUAGACGACAAGACCCUGUUGAACUUAACUUAAGUUUUACUGGGGCAGUAAAUUAAAAAUAAUUUUAAUUUUAUUACUUAAAUAAAUGAACCAUUAACAUUGAUUGCAUGAACAAGUUACCACAGGGAUAACAGCGUAAUAUUCUUUUAAAUUCUUAUAAAAAAGAAAGAUUACGACCUCGAUGUUGAAUUAUUUAUCUUAUAGGCGCAAGAGUUUCAUAAGAUGGUCUGUUCGACCAUUAAAUUUUUACA